GUCGAACGCUCCUUGCGGGUGAGUGGCGGACGGGUGAGUAACACGUACGUGAUCUGUCCCAAACUGGGGGAUAACCGCCCGAAAGGGUGGCUAAUACCGCAUGUGGUCCCCGGUUUGCGAGCCGGGGAGUAAAGUUCCGGCGGUUUGGGAGGAGCGUUGCGGCCGAUUAGCUAGUUGGUGGGGUAACAGCCUACCAAGGCGACGAUCGGUAGCUGGUCUGAGAGGACGGCCAGCCACACGGGGACUGAGACACGGCCCCGACUCCUACGGGAGGCAGCUGCGAGGAAUCUUGGUCAAUGGGCGCAAGCCUGAACCAGCGACGCCGCGUGGAGGAUGAAGGCCCUCGGGUCGUAGACUCCUUUUGUGUGGGAAGAAGCUCUGACGGUACCACACGAAUAAGCCACGGCUAACUACGUGCCAGCAGCCGCGGUAAUACGUAGGUGGCGAGCGUUGUCCGGAUUUAUUGGGCGUAAAGCGCGCGCAGGCGGUCCGUUACGUCCGGUGUGAAAGCUCCCGGCUCAACUGGGAGAGGUCUUCGGAUACGGGCGGACUCGAGGAAGGUAGAGGAAGGUGGAAUUCCCGGUGUAGUGGUGAAAUGCGUAGAGAUCGGGAGGAACACCAGUGGCGAAGGCGGCCUUCUGGUCCUUUCCUGACGCUGAGGCGCGAAAGCGUGGGGAGCGAACCGGAUUAGAUACCCGGGUAGUCCACGCCGUAAACGAUGCUCACUAGAUGUGGGGGGUAUCGACCCCCUCCGCGUCGAAGCUAACGCAUUAAGUGAGCCGCCUGGGGAGUACGGCCGCAAGGCUAAAACUCAAAGGAAUUGACGGGGG
rnacentral:rRNA from 1 species